rnacentral:rRNA from 1 species
UACGAAGGGGGCUAGCGUUGCUCGGAAUCACUGGGCGUAAAGGGUGCGUAGGCGGGUUUUUAAGUCAGAGGUGAAAUCCUGGAGCUCAACUCCAGAACUGCCUUUGAUACUGGGAAUCUUGAGUAUGGAAGAGGUGAGUGGAACUGCGAGUGUAGAGGUGAAAUUCGUAGAUAUUCGCAAGAACACCAGUGGCGAAGGCGGCUCACUGGUCCAUAACUGACGCUGAGGCGCGAAAGCGUGGGGAGCAAACAGG